AUUGAACGCUGGCGGCAUGCCUUACACAUGCAAGUCGAACGGCAGCAUAGGAGCUUGCUCCUGAUGGCGAGUGGCGAACGGGUGAGUAAUAUAUCGGAACGUGCCCUAGAGUGGGGGAUAACUAGUCGAAAGACUAGCUAAUACCGCAUACGAUCUACGGAUGAAAGUGGGGGAUCGCAAGACCUCAUGCUCCUGUAGCGGCCGAUAUCUGAUUAGCUAGUUGGUGGGGUAAAAGCCUACCAAGGCGACGAUCAGUAGCUGGUCUGAGAGGACGACCAGCCACACUGGGACUGAGACACGGCCCAGACUCCUACGGGAGGCAGCAGUGGGGAAUUUUGGACAAUGGGGGCAACCCUGAUCCAGCAAUGCCGCGUGAGUGAAGAAGGCCUUCGGGCUGUAAAGCUCUUUUGUCAGGGAAGAAACGGUAGUAGCUAAUAUCUAUUACUAAUGACGGUACCUGAAGAAUAAGCACCGGCUAACUACGUGCCAGCCGCCGCAGUAAAAC
rnacentral:rRNA from 1 species